rnacentral:snRNA from 1 species
UCUAUUGCGCCGUUUUUGACGGA